rnacentral:lncRNA from 1 species
AGCUUCCACCCAUCUGAGCAGCUGCUAUAGGGCCGAGCUGCAGGAGCCCCAGCCACGCCUGCGCAGCACUUCUCACAGGCAGCCAAAGCAGGCUGCUGAAUUCUUCUCCCAGUGCCAUAAGCCUUGGGCUCUUUUUAAUACCUCUUAAGAGACUUAAAAUAAGUCAGUAUUUGGCAUGGGAAAGUGGAAAACUCAGGCUGAUCUCAACACUUCCUUUUAUGUUUAUUUUCUCAGUGAGGCCAGAUGUCACGGUGCUAGUUUCCCUUAGGUUAACGAUGGGAAAAAAUGAGGAUGCUAGCUGGAGUUUCAGAAAUACUUCUACAUUUCCCUUCUUAGCUCUCAAGAAGUUGAGCUUCACUUGUAACAACGUCCGUUAUGGAUUUGUAGAUAGUGCAGAGAUUGCCAGGGACAGAUAACGAUGAGCACAGAGUUACCUACACCUUUUGGUGGGGAAAAAGCCCUCUGUAAACGAAACACUAAAACCCCUCGCUGAUUGUUGCAGGAUAAGUUACAGGAUAGGACAGUUCAUGGCAGCUUUGAAGAACACCUGAGGAUGGUACUGCUGACUUUCCAAGGUUCUGAUGUGAUGCUGUGAGCAUGGUUUUAAUUACAAAUGGGUAAGCCAUCAGAACCUCCUGCAAACAGGUGGGCUGAGUUACCCAUCACCUGAAGUAUUUCACUGCAGGUGGUCAUUUAGAAGCCCUUUGGCCAGCAGCAGUUGUGCUCUUCACAAGAGGAGGUGCAUGCAGUGUCCUGCCUUGCACAGAAGGUAGGAUGGAGUUGCUUUUUUUAUGCUUUUUUGAUUUCUGAUGGGAAUUUUCCUUGAGUCCUCCUGGAAAGCACUGCUGUUCCUAAGCCCUUUCCAGGCCUUACCUCUGUCUGUAAGAAGCAGGCAAGGUGCUCCAAGCCUGUACCUUGCCUUUCCAUGCUGCUGGAGCUGCGCUGUAUCACUUGCCUGGCAUGGCUCAUGUAUAUCCAGGUUGAGCUGCUGUUGUUUUAUGUGCCUUCAGGUUUUUAAGGGUUUUCUUCUUGAGAAUCUCCUGUAUCACGGGGGUCAAGUGUUGCGGUGCUCAGUAGUGGUGCGUAGCUGCCAAACGUUCCCACCCUGAUUUCCCCCAUACGAACUGCAGCGAGCUCAGAUUUCUUUGUUAUCGGCCGCACUCGGCGCAUAAUGCCGGUGACUUUGCUAUUCUGCAUGUCUCCUUAUUAAAAACAAACACGCCGCCCCGUCCCUGUUUUCAGCGUUGACAAUGCUGACAAGGAUCCCGACAAAUUCCUGCUCUCUCAGGGUGCUGGGGAAGCGCGACCAGGAAGCAGUUUGCUCUGCCGGCAGCUCCAGACAGGCUGCUCAUUGAAAAUGUAAUACACUGCUGCCAUGUCACAGGUCAGCUGGCAAAUGGCAAUCUGAAUUUUAAAAGGAAUAUGAAUAAAAUUCUGUUUUAUUUUGAAAAUGAACUUUGU